rnacentral:misc_RNA from 1 species
GAUGAAGAACGCAGCGAAAUGCGAUAAGUAGUGUGAAUUGCAGAAUUCAGUGAAUCAUCGAAUCUUUGAACGCACAUUGCGGCCAUAGGUAUUCCUUUGGCCAUGCCUGUUCGAGCGUCAUUUACACCCUCAAGCCUAGCUUGGUGUUGGGCGCCUGUCCCGCCGUUUUCGCGCGCGGACUCGCCUCAAAGUCAUUGGCGGCGGUCGUGCCGGCCCCCUCGCGCAGCACAUUUGCGCUUCUCGGAGGCCCGGCGGAUCCGCGCUCCAGCAAGACCUUUCACGACUUGACCUCGGAUCAGGUAGGGAUACCCGCUGAACUUAAGCAUAUCAAUAAGCGAGGA